CGGCGGACGGGUGAGUAACACGUGGAUAACCUACCUAUAAGACUGGGAUAACUUCGGGAAACCGGAGCUAAUACCGGAUAAUAUUUUGAACCGCAUGGUUCAAAAGUGAAAGACGGUCUUGCUGUCACUUAUAGAUGGACCCGCGCUGCAUUAGCUAGUUGGUAAGGUAACGGCUUACCAAGGCAACGAUGCAUAGUCGACCUGAGAGGGUGAUCGGCCACACUGGAACUGAGACACGGUCCAG
rnacentral:rRNA from 1 species